rnacentral:rRNA from 1 species
UACCUAGUUGAUCCUGCCAAUAGUCAUAUGCUUGUCUCAAAGAUUAAGCCAUGCAUGUCUAAGUAUGAACUAAUUCAGACUGUGAAACUGCGGAUGGCUCAUUAAAUUACCCAAUCCUGACAUGGGGAGGUAGUGACAAUAAAUAACAAUACUAGGCUCAUCGAGUCUGGUAAUUAGAAUGAGUACAAUCUAAAUCCCUUAACGAGGAUCCAUUGGAGGGAAAGUCUGGUGCCAGCAGCCGUGGUAAUUCCAGAUCCAAUAGUGUAUAUUUAAGUUGUUGCAGUUAAAAAGCUCGUAGUUGGAUAUUGGGUCGUAAAGGUCGGUCCGCCUACUCGGUGUGCACCUGCCCUUUCGUCCAUUUUUCCGGUGGCAUGCUCCUGGCCUUAAUUGGCUGGGUCAUGGUUCCGGCGUUUUUACUUUGAAAAAAUUAGAGUGCUCAAAGCAAGCUUAUGCUUUGAAUACAUUAGCAUGGAAUAACGUGAUAGGAGUCUAGUCCUAUUGUGUUAGCAUUCGGGACCGGAGUAAUCAUUAAUAGGGAUUGUCAGGGGCAUUCGUAUUUCAUUGUCAGAGGUGAAAUUCUUGGAUUUAUGAAAGAUGAACCAUUGCGAAAGCAUUUGCCAAGGAUGUUUUCAUUAAUCAAGAAUGAAAGUUGGGGGCUUGAAGACGAUCAGAUACCGUCCUAGUCUCAACCAUAAACGAUGCCGACCAGGGAUCGACGGAUGUUGCUUUAAGGACUCUGCCAGCACCUUCUGAGAAAUCAGAGUGUUUGGGUUCCAGGGGGAGUAUGGUCGCAAGGCUGAAACUUAAAGGAAUUGACGGAAGGGCACCACCAGGAGUGCAUCCUGCGGCUUAAUUUGACUCAACACGGGAAAACUUACCAGGUCCAGACAUAGUAAGGAUUGACAGAUUGAGAGCUCUUUCUUGAUUCUAUGGGUGGUGGUGCAUGGUCGUUCUUAGUUGGUGGAGCGAUUUGUCUGGUUAAUUCCGAUAACGAACGAGACCUCAGCCUGCUAACUAGCUACGUGGAGGUUCCCCUUCGCGGACAACUUCUUAGAGGGACUAUGGCCGUUUAGGCCAUGGAAGUUUGAGGCAAUAACAGGUCUGUGAUGCCCUUAUAUGUUUUGGGCCGCACGCACGCUACACUGAUGCAGUCAAAGAGUUUUUCUCCCUAGUUCGAGAGGAUCGGGAAAUCUUCUCAAAUUUCAUCGUGAUGGGGAUAGACCAUUGCAAUUAUUGGUCUUCAACGAGGAAUUCCUAGUAAGCGCGUGUCAUCAGCUCG